CCUACGGGAGGCAGCAGUGGGGAAUUUUGGACAAUGGGCGAAAGCCUGAUCCAGCAAUGCCGCGUGCAGGAUGAAGGCCCUCGGGUUGUAAACUGCUUUUGUACGGAACGAAAAGCCUGGGGCUAAUAUCCCCGGGUCAUGACGGUACCGUAAGAAUAAGCACCGGCUAACUACGUGCCAGCAGCCGCGGUAAUACGUAGGGUGCAAGCGUUAAUCGGAAUUACUGGGCGUAAAGCGUGCGCAGGCGGUUUUGUAAGACAGUGGUGAAAUCCCCGGGCUCAACCUGGGAAUGGCGCUUGUGACUGCAAAGCUGGAGUGCGGCAGAGGGGGAUGGAAUUCCGCGUGUAGCAGUGAAAUGCGUAGAUAUGCGGAGGAACACCGAUGGCGAAGGCAAUCCCCUGGACCUGUACUGACGCUCAUGCACGAAAGCGUGGGGAGCAAACAGGAUUAGAUACCCUGGUAGUCCACGCCCUAAACGAUGUCAACUGGUUGUUGGGUCUUCACUGACUCAGUAACGAAGCUAACGCGUGAAGUUGACCGCCUGGGGAGUACGGCCGCAAGGUUGAAACUCAAAUGAAUUGACGG
rnacentral:rRNA from 1 species